UACCUCUUGUUUCUUACACUUUCUCACACAGCCAUCCGCAUUGAGGCCUUACAGGGGUAAAAGGAAGUGUCUUUGAAUAUGCCUCCAAUCCCACGGGAGAUCUGAACCAGUGGUCAUCUGUUCUCUGGCUGCUAGGCAAGAGAGCUGAGGACUGAACCCAGGGCCUUGUGCUUUCUAGGCAAGUGCUCUACCACUGAGCUAAAUCCCCAACCCCUAGAUUUCAACUUUUAAAGAAAAUUUGUUGGCAAUCUGUCUUGAGGUGUACCAUGUAACUACUCUGGAGAAUGUUGCACAUUUUAAUGAGAAUGUGUAUUCAGCAGCCAUUGGAUGAAACAUUCUGUAAAUGUGUUGUCUGCUUUGGAAUGGUUUAACACUGCUCUUUGAUAAGUUUUGGUCUGGGUGAUCUAGAUUAUUAAAAGUUCUAUCAUUUUA